rnacentral:rRNA from 1 species
GCAGUCGACGGGAUCUACUGGUAAGCUUGCUUAUUGGUAGUGAGAGUGGCGCACGGGUGCGUAACGCGUGAGCAACCUACCCUUGUCAGGGGGAUAGCCCGGCGAAAGUCGGAUUAAUACCGCAUGACAUCAUUGAGAGGCAUCUUUCGAUGAUCAAAGAUUUAUCGGACAAGGAUGGGCUCGCGUGACAUUAGCUAGUUGGUAAGGUAACGGCUUACCAAGGCUACGAUGUCUAGGGGCUCUGAGAGGAGAAUCCCCCACACUGGUACUGAGACACGGACCAGACUCCUACGGGAGGCAGCAGUAAGGAGUAUUGGUCAAUGGACGGAAGUCUGAACCAGCCAUGCCGCGUGCAGGAGGACGGCCCCAUGGGUUGUAAACUGCUUUUAUACGGGAACAAACGUCGGUACGUGUACCGGUCUGAGUGUACCGUAAGAAUAAGGAUCGGCUAACUCCGUGCCAGCAGCCGCGGUAAUACGGAGGAUCCGAGCGUCAUCCGGAAUUAUUGGGUUUAAAGGGUGCGUAGGCGGCCAGAUAAGUCAGGGGUGAAAGUCGGCAGCUCAACUGUCGCAGUGCCUUUGAUACUGUUUGGCUUGAAUUCGGUUGAAGAUGGCGGAAUGAGACAAGUAGCGGUGAAUGCAUAGAUAUGUCUCAGAACCCGAUUGCGAAGGCAUUAUCUAAGCCG